rnacentral:rRNA from 1 species
ACCUAGAACCAUUUGAUCUUGGAAGGUAAGCAAGGGUCAGCCCUGGUUAGUACUUGGCUGGGAGACCACAAAUGAAUGCCAGAUGCUGUAGAUU